UCUCCAUCUCAAUCUCUUUCCCUUUGUGUACUCCAUUGAUUUAUGUUUACUGAUGCUGUACUUAGCUGAUUGCUACUUUAUUACGCGACAAGUUCAUUGAUUCGAGUUGGAUUUCACUUAUCCGAGUUAAUUGAUUUGCAGCGUGAUUCUAAUUCCAGUGGUUGGAAAUGAAUGCGUGUUUUUUUUUUUUUCGACCUCUGUUUCUCUGUAUAGAAGACACUUGUUAAAACUGGGAGAACUGGAAACACUGGUUUUGGGCCAAAUUUCAACACACACACUUAUUGAUUCACCUCACAAACAGAAAGUAAGAUAGAUGUUCAGAAUUGGUCGACAGUGGUUCAUUAGCCCGCAUUGAGAGAAUAAACACAAAUACAAAUGAAAGAAACAAAUAGAACAAAUAACAAGUUGCAUGCAGGAAGAUUUUACGUGGUUUGAUCGGAAUGAUGCCUAGUCCACUACUGUUCUCUAGUUAUUCUAGCAGAGUAACAAUAUAUUAUUGUUCAUGUCCAUACAAUGAUUUUCGACCCCUAUUUAUAUUGUGGGGGUGUUUACAAUUUGAAUAAAAUCCAAAAUGGAAGGAUAAUAUCAUGAAAAUAAUAUUUCAUUAUCAACUUCACAAAAUUGAGAACGGAAUCUGCAUUAUCAGGGAUCUAGCUUGCCACAGAUUAGGAAGAUUGACUUUUUCUCUAAUCGUCUCCGAUAAAUUCGCCAUCUCUCUGUGACACGAGCUGAGUGGCCUAGCGGCGUGUCUCGUAGCUUAAGACUUCCCGCGAUCUGAUCCAGUCGAAACGACCUGCGACCUUGCCAUGACGUUCUUCAAUUCGAGACUUACUGGGCUUUGGAGAGAUUGAGCUGAUCCACUAGACUGUUUCUAGCCCAUAAAAAGUGGUCUAGAAAAUACCCGUAACACUAGCCCCCCAGCUCACAGUGCGAUCCUCGGACUGGGAGCUGAUGUAUGCUGAUUGAAGCAGGCUACGCGAACUGUCAAUUCGCCUUUCAGACUUCUGCCAUAUCAUUUCAAAUCGUGUCGUUUCAUCCCGCACGCCUUGUCUGAGGCGCAUUUAAUGCGCACGUUCCCCACAACCGCUUAAUCAUUAUGCCCGUGGGCCCCAUGACUCUACGUGUCACCGUUAGAUCUAGGGCAGCUCGUCGGUCUCUCCAUCCAACGGUGGAGCAACCCAACCUAUAUAAGUGCGAGGGAAUUCUUUUCCCUCUCACCGUGUCAUUUUGAAACAACUCUUGCUCCUACACUCUUCUUCUUCCUUCCAACUCCGAGACCCCAUUGCCGACUGCUUCGAAGUCUUUCCACCUUGCUCCUCGAAGAUCAUUGUCACAUUUUUGCCAAGUAUUGACCUUCGCCUUCGGUAUUUGCAUCGAUUGAUUUGAAACAGUAAGCCUCUUACAACUUAUUAGCUCGCUUUACCACUGCUUUUAAUUCCUUCUGUCGACUUCUCUUCCACACCUCGCCUCCUGGCGAUGGCUGUGUGUCUUUAGGGCAUCAAGUGAUGCGUUGUCUGGCCUUCAGGCUUGCUGACCAUAGGAUUAACAUCCCUUUGUCUUAGAGGGCUAACAUGCUUGUAGACUUAGCCCCCCCCUGUCUUAGGCAGUGCCCUGUUGCGAAGCGUGUAAUCUGAUAGAUAGGAGAUGUCUUUAGGAACUUCGGUUCGUGAGGAUUAGUUUGCCCUUAGUGACCUGACUCUCUUUUCUUGUCUUUUUUUAUUGUAGAUGUCUACAUCAGGUCAGAAGCGCUGCAACUACAUGGUAGAGGACAAUGACACCUCUAGCUCUUCGGGGCACAACGGAGGGGCCUGGGUGCAGACUGUGCAGGAUGCGACCUCCCCUGGUGCCGAGGUUGCCGAAAGAGUACCCCAAUGCGCUGAUCCUGUAGUAGCCCAACGAGCUGCUGAGGAACGCACAGCUCGCGAUGUAUUCAAGCGAUAUCCUUCAAGGCUGAUGAUCAUCGAGCUCUAGUCAUACGCUUCAAAGUACCGUCUGCCCUGCAACAACCGUGUAAUGGUGCCUUCUCUUGGUGACCACGCGGCCUUUCCCCCUCUAGUAUUCAUAGCUGUUAACCCCCAACACCUAGAGUUCGGACUUAGGUUUUCAGUUCAACCUUACCUCAUAGAUAUUCUCAACGACCUAAAACUUGCACCUUUCCAGCUGACUUCAAACUCUUACGCCCAGCUCACCUCCCUAGCCAUACUUUUCAAAAAGAGCAACCUUCCUCCUCUAUCACCCAAAAUCCUUAGGUACCUCUACUAUUUCAAGGGUACCAAGGACGGGUUGUAUUAUAUGGCAGCUCGUUCCUUUGAUUAUAAGAAGCUCUUGCCUCAGGGCAAGUCCAAUGUAAGGGAUUAUAAAACUCAUUGGUUUUACACUUCCUGUACCUCCUUCCAUAGCCUUAGGAACUUCGGUUCCGUCCUCAUACCGAACGUCACUGGCACGAAACCUGAGUUGACCAUUUCUGAGGCACAUGGGCUUCAAGCUACUUCAGAAGCGAAAACAGACGCGGACAACUCUUAGCUCACCGACCUGUUGCUCCGCGACUACUAGCUCGCUCCUUUUCUCGACUGCAAACCCAUUAGGAAAGAGGACGUUGGAGCUCGGGGCUAGAAAGAGAUAAAGUCCGUUUUUGACGUAAUCGACUUCAGUGGGAGCCUGGUCAAGGGAGGUAGAGCUCGUCAAGAGGUUGAGGUUGAGUCCUUAUCAGAGUCAUCAGAGAUGGUGAAGUUCAAACUCCGGAAGCCUGGUUAAUCCGCGACCUCGCAUGCGGUAGUUCCUUCAUCCCCUUCUCCUGCCAAUAUCCAAAGAGCAGAACCUCGUCCCGAGGUAGUUAUCGAGAAUCGCGACGUCGCCGCUCUGCCUGGCCUCAACCUUGUGACAAUAGCCUCAUCUUCGAUAAAGCCGGUCCCUGAUGCGUAGCCUGCCUCCACCUCGCAGCAUGAGGCGGCCGCAACAGCAGCUAAGCGUGGGAAAUCUAUAGCUCAUGAGGAGGUCCUUAUUGGUGAGGCCCAAGCUGCCCCUGCUGUUGGAAGCAAAAGGAAAGCACCUUCCACCUCGCUUACUGCCUAACAAGUUCAAGCGGAUAAGAGAAAGAAGGUAGCUGCUUUUGCUGAGAAGGUUGCGUUUGAGGUCGUGGCUGGGGGGCCGUACUUCGACGUCCUCCUCGACGGCUUGGACGAGGUCCUAGGUAAUUCUACUAGGACUCUGGACAGAAAGGAGGUGUCAGGUGAAACGCUCUCUAAUUACAUAGCUCGUCACAGCAUCCUGGCUUUCCUGGGCGCCUUGAAACAGAGGGAAGAGAUCGUUCGAUUUGCCAAGGAUAAAGAACAUCUCGAGGCCAUCGCAAAGGUGCUCAGGGAGGACAAGAGGAAGCUAGAAGAUAGCUUGGCCUUCCUGACUGAUGAAUCCAAGAGGGCUUAGAACAUCGCCCACGGCUUGGAGGAUCACACGAGGGAGGUCGAGAGGGUCAAGAAGGGGGCUAAGGACGAGCUAGCUCGCGAGAAAGCAACUUACGAGACGGUCUUUUCCUUCGCCACUUCGAAGCUCAACAAAGCUGAAACAGAGUUGAUCAAAACACGAGGCGAGUUGGAGCUAGCCCAGCAAAGAGUUGACAUCGUGUCAGAGGAGGCAGAGGCGUCGAGAUGUGAGGUCGAGUAGAUCAGGGAGGAGGUCGUGCAAAUAAAGGAUGAAGUUGAAGCCCGGGUUGCCAAGGAGCGCGAGGAAGUUGAGUUUGAGACCUGCAACCAAUUUCUCUUCACCUUGUGGGAGGAGCAUCCAGAACUGGAUUUCUCCUUCUUUGGUGAAUAGGCGGUCGAGGAAGUGAGGAAGUUUGUUGCUGAGGCCGCAAAUAAAGAGGCUGUCCCAACUUUGCUUGUGCUUGAUCAGAUCGGGGCCGACCUCCCUCCUGAAGUCGCAGGAGACCCGGCUCCCCAGGACGUAGUUCCUUUGAACUGAGACUCUCUAGACUGCUAGGACUUCAAAUUUUCUUCUCUUUAUUUUUCUUCUUUGUACUAGCUAUUAAUAUAUGGACAAAUUGCUUCCCUUGUCAUUUGCACUUUCCUUAGUGUAAUAUUUUUUGUCAGCUGAAAGUGAGACCCAGUAAGCACGUUUAACUUUGAUUUCAAAAGUAAAUUUAACUCAAACCUCGCGAGCUAAAUAGGUCGCAGAUAACAACGCUUAAGUUAAUACGGAUGCACAUUAACUUGCAAUUCAGAGGCUGAGUAAUCAUAAGUAAUAAUAAUUAGAAAGGCUGAGCACGUCUAGCAGGUCGUCAAUAAUUCUUAGGCCAGCGAGAACAGAUCCUGGCUAACACAUCAUACCUCGACAGAGUACUUGAUUGAAUCAUAUUCCAUUGCCAAGUUAUAUGUCCAUGUAGAUCAUAAUCCGAUCUCAGCUAAACGUACUAUGGCUUCAAGAAUUGAUCGAAGUCAAGAUGAACACCUAGAUAGGUCGCAAACCAUGACUUCUUGGUCAAGAUGAGAGGACAUCAGUUAGUGAACCAUGAUUUAUAAGUUUUCUUUUUUCGCUGAAAUGGUUGCUUAGUAAGCGCCAAACCAUGACUUUGCGGUCAAGAUGAAUGGGCCUUAGCUCGCGAACUAUGUCCUAGGGUGAGCACUAAGAUGGAUGCUUAGAUAAGUCACAAACCAUGGCGCAUAGGCCAAGUUGAAUGGGCCCCAGGUCGCAAACCAUAGCCUUUCAACCCCAAAUUUAUCUUAUUUUCUACUUCUUAUUUUUAACAAAAGGUGGACGUAAUAGGAUUUGACAACAAUAAUCAGGAAUUCAAUUUAUUAGAGGAGCGAUGUCAGAAUAGAUAGAACAUCAAUCAAUAACUAAAAUUACAUAGAGAAAAAGUAUCGCUUAUCGAAAAUAUGAUCUGAGGUGCUCUGCAUUCCAAGUUUGUGGGACUUCGGCUCCAUUCAUGCUAGUCACAUGAUACACACCAUUCCCUAGGUUUUCUUUGAUAAUAUAGGGGCCUUCCUAGUUCGGGCCUAGUGUCCUUUCACUGGCCUUGCAAGCUCCAGGAAGAACAAGGCGUAACACGAGAUCACCGACGUUAUAGCACCGAACCUGGACCCUUCUAUUAUAAUACCUCGCGACUCGCUGUUGAUAGGUGGCCAACCUCAUGCGAGCUAGCUCCCUUGCCUCCUCGAGUAAAUCAAAGUUUGCAGCUAGUAGCUGGUCGUUGUUCUCCGGGUCGAAGGUGGCUCUUCGCUCACUGGUCACUUCAUAUUCCGCCGAGAUUAUGACCUCAGACCCAUAAACCAUAGAGAAAGGAGUUUCUCCUGUGGUGGUUCGAGUUGUGGUCCUGUAAGCCCAGAGUACCUUUUGUAGUUCAUCUGUCCAGGCUUCCUUCCUGGCUUUCGGCUUGCUCUUUAAUAUCUGCUUAAUUAUUUUAUUCACAGCCUCGACCUGCCCAUUGGCCUGGGAGUGGUCCAUGGCUGUGAAACCCUUCACUAUCCCCAACGAGCUGCAGAACCUGACAAAUUGCUCGCUGCUGAACUGGGUCCCAUUGUCAGUGACUAUUUGUUGGGGAACUCCGAAUCUACAGAUGAUAUUACUCCAGACAAAUUUCUCUAUCUUUGUCGUGGAUAUUUCCGCGAGCUCCUUCGCCUCUGCCUAUUUGGUGAAGUAAUCGAUUGCCACUAUAGCAUGCCUGCACCUACCGCGAGCUGUAGGGAGUGGCCUGGUUAUAUCCAUGCCCCAUAUGGCGAAGGGCCAUGGGUUGCUCAUCUGCUGCAGAUAGACAGGUGGAGUUCGUGGUAUUUUUGAAAACCUCUGGCAUGUGUCACACCUUUUUACUACAUUCAUAGCGUUUUGCUUCAUGGUAGGCUAAUAGAAUCCCUGACAAAGUGCCUUUUGAGCCAAGGACAUACCCCCAGCGUGAUUGCCACAAUGACCUGCAUGGAUCUCCUUAAGAACUGCCUGGUAAUCAGGACCAUCGAUGCACCUCAACAGCGGGGUUGUGAACCCCCUUUUGUAAAGCAUAUCAUCUUGAAGGUAGUAUAUGGCCGCUCAAGCUCGCAUACGACGUGCCUCUAUCUUAUUGCCUGGCAACUUUCCCUUUUGUAGAUAGUCAACAAUGGGGCUCAUCCAUGAGUUCGGGCUCAUAGCAAUUGCCAACACUUCACCUUGUUCCUACGUGCUUGGUGCUGCCAGGAACUCUACUGGGAUGGCUCCCAGGGAAUCUGCAUCUCGGGCCGACGCCAGGUGAGCUAGAGCAUCAGCGUAAGAGUUCUAGUCUCUCGGCACCUGAUUCACCUCGCAUUCUUCGAUAGUGCGCGCUAGAUCCCGGACUUUCUGAAAGUAGGACACCAUCUUCGAGCCUUUCGCUUGAUAUUCACCUCGUAUCUGACAUACCACGAGCUGAGAAUCACUGUAGACCGUUAGACGCUCUGCUUUCACCUCUCUCGCCAGGCGCAGUCCUACCAGCAGUGUCUCAUACUCUGCUUCAUUAUUGGUUGCUUUAAACUCGAAUCUCAACGCAUAGGGAAUUUUGUGCCCCUCCGGGCUUAUCAGAAGUACCCCAGCUCCAGCUCCUUGCUUGUUGGAAGACCCCUCUACAUACAAUUCCCAAGAUGGACUUCUUGUGGGCCCGUCCUCUUCUUCUACUGGGCCCGUAAAUUCAGCCACAAAGUCUGCCUGUGAAGGGGCAGAUGUCUAGUCCACGACUGUUAUCUGGUUAUUCCGGCAGAGUAACAAUAUAUUAUUGCUCAUGUCCAUACAAUGGUUUUCGACCCCUAUUUAUAGUGUGGAGUGUUUACAAUUUGAAUAAAAUCCAAAAUGGAAGGAUAAUAUCGUGAAGAUAAUAUUUCCUUAUCAACUCCACAAAAUCGGGAACGGAUUCUGCAUUAUCAGGGAUCUGGUUUGCCAUAGAUUAGGAAGAUUGACUUUUUCUCUAACCAUCUCCGAUAAAUUCGCCAUCUCUUCGUGACACGAGUUGAGUGGCCUAGCAGUGUGUCUUGCAGCUUAAGACUUCCCGCGAUUUGAUCUAGUCGAAGCGACUUGCGACCUUGCCAUGACGUUCUUCAACCUGGGACUUACUAGGCUUUGGAGAGAUUUGGCCAAUCCACUAGACUGUUUCUAGCCCAUAAAAAGUGGUCUAGAAAAUACCCGUAACAGAAACAGAAUUGAAAUAGAGAUAAGCAUGCAAACCACAAGAACACCAAUGGUUAUCCUGGUUCAGAUCACAAAUGUGAUCUAACAUCCGGUGAGAGAGCAAUCCACUAAGAUUCUUGAUGAAAUCUGUACAAGACUUUGUCACUCGCACAAGCCCUUCCCUCUUGAUCCAUGAGAACUCUCACUAUGAGAUUACAGGUCUAUAUUCUCUAGCUUUCUCUCGCAAUACAACUUUGUGCACAACAAUGAAAUGAUCAAUCAUAUGGUAUCUGACAGGCUACCCUCACACCCCUUAUUUGAUUGGUAUCUGACAGGCUACCCCCACACCCCUUAUUUAUAGACAUAAAAGACGUGAGUUACAAGGGAUUUUUUUAAAAAAAGGGACAAUUCCCUAUCUACCCCUCACUAAUUAAACAUACAAUUAAACUACAUUUCUUAAUUGUCACUGUUGCAUUGAUAUAAUCCUCAAUAAGAAGUCGGACUCCUUCUAAUCUUUACAGCCACUCAAAGCAAAACUCGAAUAACAAUUCUCCACCAUUUUGCUCGAGUAGCUGACUAGAACCUGAUCUCAUUAGGCUGCUCAUCAUCUGGACCUGCAUAAAAUUGAUCAUUUACAUAAUAUAACCUGCAAUAGUCUUAAACAAUGGUGUAACUUAAGCAUAGGAACUGCCUUUGUGAACAUAUCAGCUGUAUUUUCCUCACCUACAACUUUAAUCAGACCUACUUCCUUUCUUUCAAGUAUUUAUCUGAUAAAAUGAUACCUUACAUCAAUAUGCUUUGUUUUUUCAUGGUGUGCUUGAUUCUUAGCCAAGUGUAUAGCACUUUGGCUAUGACACAUUAGUGUAGCCGUAACAUCUUUCCCUAGGAGUUCACUUACUAUACCUUUAAACCAUAAGACCUCUUUUAUAGUUUAUGUGACAGCUAUAUACUUGGCCUUAGAGGUAUAAAGAGUCACUAUAGAUUGUAAAUUUGUUUUCCAGUUAAUGGUUGAAUUUCAUAGCUUAAAAACAUACCCUGUAGAUGACCUUCUUUUAUUUAGAUCUGCUGCAUAAUCAGCAUCAGUGAACCCUAGAAUGUUAGGCUCUUCAUCUAAACUAGCUCCACCAUAAACUAAUGCUAUAUUGAUAGAUCCUUUGAGGUAUCUAAAUAUCCAUUUAACGGCAACCCAAUGGUCUUUUCUUGGAUUAGCCAUGAACUUGCUUGUAACACUCAUGGCAUGAGUUAAAUCCGGCCUUGUACACACCAUACAAUACACAAAACUACCUACAACACUAGAAUGUGGAAUCUUAUUCAUCUCUCUUAUGCUCUCUUCGUCACUAGGUGAUUGUAUGUGGGACAAUUUGAAAUGCUGAGCAAAAGGAACAUUCACUUCUUUUGCUUCAAGCAUGUGAAAUUUCCUAGUGAGCUUCUCAAGAUAGGACUUCUGAGGUAGCUGGAUCUUCCUUUGCUGUUUAAUCCUAGAGAUUUCAAUCCCUAAAAUAUUCCUAGUCUCUCCUAACUCCUUCAUUUCAAAGGCUGAUUUGAACUUCAGCUUUAAACUUUGAAUUUUCACAUCUGAUUGACUUGCAAUUAGCAAGUCAUCUACAUAAAGGAAGAGAUAUAUAGAGGUCUUAGAUGAAAUAUGUCUAAGAUAUACACAACAAUCGAAAUCACUCCUCUUGAACCCUUGGCUAAUCAUGAAUGUGUCAAACUUCCUAUACUUGCCUAAGUCCAUAUAAGGACUCUUUCAACAAGCAAACUUGCUCAUUCUUUCCCCUAACCUCAAAUUCUCUAGGCUGCUCUAUUAGAAUAUCCUCUUCUAAUUCACCAUGGAGGAAUGCAAUGGUCACAUCCAUCGCUUAGGUCUAAGUGGGCAGUCAUAGCAAGUAAUAUCCUAAUCGAUGUGUGUCUCACAACUGGUGAUAACACUUAAUUAAAAUCCACUUCUUCUACUUGGGUGAAGCUCCUUGCUACUAACCUAGCCUUAUACCUAGGUUUUAGAUCAAUUCUUGCCCCUUCCAUGAUUUUAAACAACUAUUUACAGCCUACCACCCUCUCACCUAAGGGUCUAUCAACCAAGGUCCAAGUCUCAUUUUUCCUAAGAGAUUCCAUCUCGGAUUCCAUAGCCAUUUUUUGGAAUCCUUAGACCUUAUAGCCUCUUCAUAAGUAAGAGGCUCCUCUCCAGCUACUUCUAAUGCACUAGACAGUGCAUAUGACACUAAAUCGGAGAAUCCUUACCUCAUAGGAGGUCUACUCACUCUCCUUUGCCUAUCUUUAGCUACAUUGUAUCUACCUAGGCUUGAGUCACUCUUUAAACUAGAGGAAUCAGCAGCAUCUUGCUGCUGAUCUGCUGCCUGCUCAUGCUGUAAGUCACUGGCAGCAUCUUCCAAGUCAUCUAGCUGUUCAAAUUCCACAGCUUUUGACUUUUCAUUUGCUUCCUCUAUGUUGACAUCCUUCAAGAACGAACUUUCAUCAAAGGUUACAUCUCUACUUACUAUUAUCCUAGGCAUUCCUUCUUCCAAAUUCCAAAGCUUGUACCCUUUAACCCCUGAUGGAUAUCCAAUAAAUAGGCAUUUCUUGGCUCUAGGCUCUAAUUUUCCUUGUUUAACAUGGGCAUAAACAAUACAACCAAACACCCUUAGGUGUUCCAAACUUGGCUUAUGGUCAUUCCACAUCUCAUAGGGUGUUUUAAACCCUAUUGCAACCGAUGGAGACCUAUUUAUUUCAUAGGCUGCAGUAGUUACAACUUCACCCCAAAAUGCCUUGGGCAAUUUAGCAUGAAACAACAUACAUCUCAUCCUCUCUAGUAGGGUGUCGUGUACUUAGGGCUUAGCCUAGGGUUACAUUGGCAAUCGAAAGGAGCUGAGAUGUUGAAGAUUAAGAACAAAAUGAUUGGAGAGGGAAUUUGGACAGAAAUGGGGGGAGAAAUUAGAGAGAAACAAGGGAGAGUUACAGAGGGAAAUAAGAGGGAGAUUGGGAGAGAAUUCUAGGGAGAGAAAUGAGAAUAUUCAAUUGUCAUUCAACAUACCUUUCCAUCCUCUCUAGCUGUGGCUUAUAUAGCCUCACGGCAUUGCACAUGCACCCAUGUGCAGUUACAAUAGUGACCAUAUAUGCCUAUAGUUAAAAACAAAUAUCUAUAAUAGAAAAAGGAAAGGAAAUUACAAAAUAUAGUAAUACAUGUAGGCUAAAUACUAUUAUAUUUCCCACUCUAUCCUUGGGGAUCCUCGAGGUCAUAACAUAGGAUUCUAUUCAUUCUUUUUGCUAGACCAUUUUGUUUAGGGUUUCUAGGGGUUGUUAGGUGCCUAAGGAUGCCACUCUCAUUACAUAAUUGAGUAAAAUCCUUAUUACAAAAUUCUAGACCAUUAUGUGUCCCAAUGAUCUUAAUUUUUAAGCUUUUCUGAUUUUCUAUCAUAGUUUUCAGGUUUUAAAUGCAUCAAAAGUGUGAUCUUUUGACUUCCACACAUAAACCCAAACCAUCCUAGAGAAAUCAUCUAUUAUAAAAAGGAAAUACCUAGCACCUCCAUGUGAUAAAGUUUGACUAGGGCCCCACAAAUCAGAAUGAAUGUAUUCUAUGUUGUGUAUUCAUGUGUGUGUGUGUGUAUGGGGUGAGUGCUGUCCCAUGUUGGUGGGGUAAAGAGAGCACUAAGGGUAUUUAAACCCUUACCUCCCACUUGGGGUUGGGCCUCAAGGGACACUUAGAUUUUGUGAGCGGGUGAGUCCCUACUCGCUCGUGCACGCCACCGCUAUCGCCCGUCCGGUCGGUUCGGUUUGGAAAAUAAAUUGUUAACCUUAGGACUCUUAGAUUAUACCCUUAGGCGAGAAAAUCGUCUCAUAAACCCUCUCCAACACUCAGAUGAAGUGUAAAUAUAAGAACAAAAAACAUGAACAACAAAAACAGAAAUGAUCAAGCCACAAACCAAAUAAUAGGCGCAAGAUAUAUCUUGGUUCGGAAUGCCUUUGGCAAACCUACAUCCAGUCUUUAAACACCCACCAAGAGCAGCUUUCUUUAUUACCAAGAAUGAUCAGUACAACAGCUUGAGUAAUUUCUCCUAUUCCCGAGUACAACUAACACUAAAAUCUAAAAUCUUCAAUUUGAGUUAUAACUUCUAUCUAAAAUCUUCAAUGACCCUCAAAAUACAUUGCUAUAACUAAUCUUAUUAACCUAUACUCUAGACAACAUUUUAACAUAAAUAUAUAUAUUUUUAUAUAUAUUAAAAAUAAAAUAAAAUCAUUAAUAAUUUUUUUAUUUUAUUUAUUUCCCUAGUGGCGUUUGGGUGGCCUAGUGUCUUUAUUCUUCCCCUUUUAUUAUAGUGGUUAACCAGAGUUCUU